UUGAUGCGCCGUCUUAUGACGUCACGCUCACUUUGUAAACAUUUUGAACACCGAGGCCUCCGUCCCUCCCGCCGCCGAAUCGAGGCUCCCGGAGCGCCGAGGCCCCGCCCCCACCCUGCCGCUGGUUCCUCCCGUCGGCUGCCGGUCGCUCUCUCGCCAGUCCUCCGUUAGCGCCGCCGGCUCGGCUGUCUCUUCGACGCGCGAGCACGUUCAGCAACGAGCACCCCGACCGUCGGCCCUCGCAGCCAAAACUCUCCGCUCGACAGGCAACAUGGGAAACGAGGCCAGUUACGCUCUGGACAUGUGCUCGCACUGUAAGUAUGACAUCAUUGCGGCCAACGCUGCCCCCCCCCCCCUCGUACUUUUGGCUCUCUUGAAAGGACCGCGUG